rnacentral:rRNA from 1 species
ACACAUGCAAGUCGAGGGGCAGCGGGAUUGAAGCUUGCUUCAAUUGCCAGCGACCGGCGCACGGGUGAGUAACGCGUAUCCAACCUUCCGUACACUCAGGGAUAGCCUUUCGAAAGAAAGAUUAAUACCUGAUGGUAUGAUGAGAUUGCAUGAUAGCAUCAUUAAAGAUUCAUCGGUGUACGAUGGGGAUGCGUUCCAUUAGGUAGUAGGCGGGGUAACGGCCCACCUAGCCUACGAUGGAUAGGGGUUCUGAGAGGAAGGUCCCCCACAUUGGAACUGAGGCACGGUCCAAACUCCUACGGGAGGCAGCAGUGAGGAAUAUUGGUCAAUGGACGAGAGUCUGAACCAGCCAAGUAGCGUGAAGGAUGAAGGUCCUACGGAUUGUAAACUUCUUUUAUAAGGGAAUAAAACCUCCCACGUGUGGGAGCUUGUAUGUACCUUAUGAAUAAGCAUCGGCUAACUCCGUGCCAGCAGCCGCGGUAAUACGGAGGAUGCGAGCGUUAUCCGGAUUUAUUGGGUUUAAAGGGAGCGCAGACGGGUCGUUAAGUCAGCUGUGAAAGUUUGGGGCUCAACCUUAAAAUUGCAGUUGAUACUGGCGUCCUUGAGUGCGGUUGAGGUGUGCGGAAUUCGUGGUGUAGCGGUGAAAUGCUUAGAUAUCACGAAGAACUCCGAUUGCGAAGGCAGCACACUAAGCCGUAACUGACGUU